rnacentral:lncRNA from 1 species
ACCAUGAGCCCUGUGCUCUGCAGGUGCAUGCCAAUGAAGUUGUUUCAAUGAAUAAUUCAUUCCAUUUAUAUUAAUAUCGCCCACUUUUCCUUCAAAAUGCACCUAUAGAUACCAAACUCAACAAUAUUAGUUAGUUGAUAUCAGAAUUUUCCUUUGACAAAACCAAAACUAAAAAUUUGACCUAAUAAUAAUAAUAAUAAUACAAAAAUAUCGCAUUAGACAUCAAACAUGUUUUUAUAUAAAGUGUCGGUGUUACAUAGUUAAUCAGAUAAGCACAAUUUUUCUUUAGAAGGAAAAGUCUUUUCAAUUCAAGUUAAUUUUUAUUUUUAACUGAUUUGUUAGUUGAUGAAAAUACAUACCCCAAUACUGUAUUGGUGGUUAACAAGUGUGGCAUUUGUAGGAAGGUAGUUUCUGUCUAAGGAUUUCAAUACAUUGUUCACAACAAUAUUUGUCAUUGCAAGAUCCACUGGACUCUGUGCUUUCCCAUUUGAGCAUGCUGCGAAUGAUUGUUUUAGUGUUCCCCAUUUCAGAGGACCAUUUGGUCCAAUAUAACUAAAAUUAACCGAAUCUAGCAUAAAAAUUAGAAAAAAAAAAACCUCAGUCAUAAAAAAUUAUCAGCAUAUCAUAACAUGUAAUUUAGUCUUCACAGAUUAAGAAAAACAAUAAUACUCAGUUGUAGAAUGAAGGAAUGAGAAAAAUGUAGCACUGAAUUAAUUUUUUGAUAUUAAGUUAUGAAAAAUGCAAAAUGAAAUCGUACCAUGAUUUGCUGAAGUGCAUAGAGCCAAAGCAGCUAUGGAAAGGAUUGAGAUGUAAAUCUGCAAGGCCAUUGUUGUGAUUGCUUUAAUCUAAGAGCCAAUGUUUGAUUCCUUCAGUUUUUAUAGAAUAUAUAUGCAAUACUAUCACUAUCACCAUUAUGUUUAUUUUUAGAAAUCUGGCACAUUAAUUUUGUAGGGUUUAUGACGUUUUAUUUAGUUUCCUAAAAUAAGUUUUUUUUUUUUUUUUUAAAGUAGAGUUAAUUGAGUAAAUGGUUAUAGUCGACAAAUCUUAGCUCAAUCGAUAAAAUGUUAAAAUUGUUAGUCUGAACGCCGUGACUGAGAUUCUACUUGUGUGUGAGUUUAGAUGGUUAUUUGUCAUUUCGUCUAUUUACUAAAAAAGUAAACGAACCUUAUAAAUAUCUUUUUUUGAGCAACGAGAAAUUCACUGCAUUUCAUUCAAAAUCAAGUGUACAAAGUAGUAGGUACAUCACGGAAAACAUGGGGGUUAAGGUGAGAUAAAAACAACUCUAGCAAUGUUGAGAGCUACUUUAUUAGCUUGCCUCUUAACAAACGACACUACAUAGUCAGAAUUACUAAGCAACAAAGUUUGACAUUCAAAAACUAAAUCACCAAUUUCAUUAUUUGGAGGAUUGGUGGAUUUUAGUGUAUGUCAACAUAUCUAAAGUUUUGUUUUUAGUUCCUACAAAAAAAUCGCAUUUUUUAGUCUUCGCAAAAUUUCUCGUCAACAUGUUUAAUCCUUGUAAAAUUUUCUAUCAUCAUUUUUAGUCAUUUUAAAAUUUUCCGUCGUCAUCUUUUGUCUUUAAAAAUGCUAAAUGAAAACGUUACAUGAACUAAAAACUGUGAUUUUUUUUUGUAGGACUAAAAACGAAAUUCUAGAUAUUUUUAUGGGACAUUUAACUAAGCCUUAAAAAUAUUACCAUAUCUGCUCACAAUUUCAUAUAUGUUUUUAGAGUGAUAACCCAUUUUGGUCCCUAGUAAAAUAUAUAGGGGCCAAAUUAGUUCUUUAAAAAUAAAAAGAAUCUACGUAGUCAUUUACAAAAUUAAACCGCGACAAUUUGGACCCCGAACAGGUUUCUAAUAUUAAAUUUAGGCAAAAUUAUACUUUUAGUCCCUUAACUUAAUUUCAGGUAACAGUUUGGUCCUUUAUCUUUUUUUCCUUUCAAUUUGGUCCUUUUUGUCCAUUUUCAUAUGAAAUUUUAAGCGAAAAAAUUCAUGAUUUUAUUUUCUUAUGGUCUUUCAGUCUUCAAAUCUAUGAUUCUCGUCUAUGUUUGCAUAAGAAUAUUAGAUUUGAAGCUUGAAAAUGUAUAUGAAAAUGGACAAAAAGGACCAAAUUGAAAUGAAAAAAAGAUAAAGGCCUCAAACUGUUACCUGAAAUUAAGUUAAGGGACUAAAAGUGUAAUUUUGCAUUAAAUCUAGGGUUAAUAGGUCUUUACCCCCUGUAAUAUAGGUCACUUAUGGUUUUGCCCCCUGUAAAAAAAAAUUUUUUGAUUCGGUCCUUGUAAAAUUUUUUUGUUUUGAAAUACCCCCCUAGACCAGCUGACUGUGCAUUUUUGCUGAUGUGGCAUGCGCCGUCACCUUUUUCGGGUGACGUGGCGCGCUGACUGUAUAAUUAUUUUUAUUUCUUAUGGGGUACACGUGGCAUUUAUGAUUUUUUUUUAAAAAAAUUCAAAAAAUUUCUUAAAAAAAAAAAACGAAAAAAUAUUAUAAAAAAUGAAAUAAAUUCUAGAAAAAUAAAAAUAAUAAUAAAAAUGAUUAAGAAAACGAAAAUAAUUAUGGAAAAAUUAAUAAAAAUCUGAUAAAUGAAAAAUAAUGAAAAAAUCUAGAAAAUUUAGUAAAAAAAAUUCUGGAAUAAUUUAAAAAAUUUGGUAAAAUGAAAAAAAUAUGGAAAGUUUAAUAAAAUAAAAUCUGGAAAAAUUAAUAUAUUUCAAAAAAUUCAUAUAUGCAUAUUAUUUUCAGUAGAGGAAAAAUUUAAAAAUUCUGGAAAAAAUUAAAAAAAAAAUUCAUAUUUUUUUUUCGAAAUUAGGAAGUUUUAAUUUAUAAAAAAAAUAAAAAAUUCAUCAACUUAAAAUAUUUCAAAAUUUAUGAAUAUAAUAAGAAUAAAAUUAAAAAUGAAAGUUCAGAUUUUUCUUUCGAAAUUAAAAAGUUUGUUUUUUGAUUUUUUAUACAGAAAAUCAAAAUAUUGGAAAGUAUAUUCAUAAUUAAAAGAACAUAACAUUAAAUCAUGAAGAAUAGAAUUUCGAUAUAUAUUAAUUUUUUUUAUAGAAUUUUGAUUUUUUUUUAAUUUUAAUUUAUUUCAGAUUUUUUUUAAUAAUGUUUUUGAAAAUUCCGAUAUAUAUUAAUUUGUUUUAUUUUUCCAGAUUUUUUUUUAAAAUUUUCUUGAUUUUACUAGAAUUUUAAAAAUUUUCCAGAUUUUUUAUAAUAUUUUUUCGUUUUUUUAAAUAUUUUAAGAUUUUUUUGAUUUUUUUUUAAAAAAAAAAAUCAUAAAUGCCACAUGUACCCCAUAAAAAAAUAAAAAAUAAAAAUAAUUAUACAGUCAGCGCGCCACAUCAGCAAAAAUGCACAGUCAGCUGGUCUAGGGGGGUUUUCCAAAACAAAAAAAUUUUACAGAGACCGAAUAAAAAAAAAAAUUUACAGGAGGCAAAACCAAAAGUGACCUAUAUUACAGGGGGUAAAGACCUAUUAACCCUUAAAUCUAUGAUGUGUUGGUUAAAUUAAGUGACAACGUGGAAUUAAACGAAUUUGUAAAGGUACAAAUUAGUUCCUCAUUUAAAAAAAGAUAGCAAAAUAUAACAAAAAAUGUUUAAAUAAAUUUUUUCGUUCAUAAAAAUAUAGUGAAUUUUAAUUUUAAUCCUUAAAAUAUAUAAAAUGGGAUCCUCCUAAUUUUUUUGGCUUAUGGUCCCUAAUAAACAUAAUUAGGUUAUGUCAUUGAAAUUUCUUGGAACACAUAGAGGUUGGAUAUAAUAGAUUUUCAAAGCUUGGACAUUUUCGGAAUUGACCAUUUGGGACUAAAAACGAAAGGAAAAUUUUUGGGAGGACAAAAACAUUCCAUUUUAUUUUUAAGGAUUAAAAUUAAAACAUGAAAAACUUAUUUAAACAAACAAAAAUCUAAACAGUUUCACAAUAAUAGGAUGACUGAACUGUUUAUUUAACACAAAAAGAUAAUGAAUGAACCGUUUUUAAUCAGAAGUUAUUAUGAGUUAUUAUUAGAAAUUACUUAUUUCCUUUUUCGUCUUUAGCCAUGAUGGUACAUUGGUACUUCCUUUAUUUACUUUGUUUUUUGUUUUUUUACGAAAUAAAAGAUAUUAAUUCAUUCAAAUCGAUAGAGUAGAUCGAUACAAUACAAAUUUAAAGAAACUAAAAAUAAAAAAGAUGAUCUGCGAACAAACUCACAUCAUCCAUGUUAAUAGCAUAAAACGGUAGAUUAUACAUGACUAUAUUCAAGUCACCGGAAAACUCAUGUCUCCGGAUCUGCAAUGUUGACGACGCAAAAGUCAUUAAUGGAAUCUGCACUUGCUCAAAGCUAAUUUUUCAACCUGAAUCAAAUAAAUACCGUACUAAGACGAAAAAUCAAAAACACUACACAAAGACAAGAAAUCAAAACAAUCAAAGUCGUGCAAACAAAGUCAAUUGGGAUGUACAUAAUUUGAAGAUAGUAUGAUUUAUUUGACUCCGUACAAAUACAACACUGGAGUUUACAUAAUAGUGUGUAAAAAGAGCCUUCCAUUUUUUUAAUAAUCAUCCUAAACUCUGUGAUAUCAUGUUUAGAGGACAAGAAACUAUCCACUCACUUUUUAGCAUCAAGCUCAAAGUUCAUAGGUCCUAAACUCAAGUCAUCAACCAUUGAAAAGCAGUUAAAAAUCCUAGUACUUCACCAACAUGUACCUCACAAAUUGGUUCAAACUAUUCAGUUUUAGCCAACACAAAAUUGCACGUCUCAUCCCUUAUACAAAUUUCAAUCCCAACUUUAUAGUUUAUUUUGAGAAGGACGCGUCAUACAUUUAAAUAUGCCAACAUUAGAUUUAGACCACUUGUUGCUACCUACGUGCCUUUGUUGAGAGACGAAUUAUAUGCACGUAGGAUAGAUUCUUUUAGGAAUGUUUAGAGGUCUUGCAACAAAUAUUCAUAUGUAUUUCUUUAUUCGCAGAUGGAGUUUCAAAUACGAUAUAAAACUUUCACAUACAAAAGUGUGAUCCAAAGUCUAACCCGAAACACCAAUAUCCAAUCUAGCCUUAAUGGGAUCAAUUUCAACAAAAUAUUUGGUGGCAGUUGACAGUAACAAUAUCGAUUUUUGGUUGGACUAAUGGAUUUUUAGUGGAACUUCUCUUAUUUCCAUCACUAACCAAACUAGCAUCAACACGACUCUCACUGUGAGGGAUGUGGUAACCGCCUUAUAAUUUCCUUACUUCUAACUUACCUCAUGCCUUUGCUUUUCAGGUUUUCUCCAUCCUUGCACCUAAGGACAAAAAUGGACAUGACAAGAUUGGCUAGGGAGGAACCAACACUAAGAAAUUCACAACUCAAAGUUCAUGUGAUUCUAUGAAUGCUAGAGCUCAGCCCAUUGAGGGAGAUUGGAAGCCUUAUUGAGUUGGAAAGGUUCACAUAGAAUUCAGACAUUCAUGUGGAUUCCGGCUCAUGAGUAGCUACUCACUAAUUAUCGUAGAAACAAAUGGGGUGUUGGAGCUUCCCCCAUGUGCUCUAGCUGUGACAGAGACAAUGAAACCAUUAUUCGUGUUUUGCAGGACUUCCCUAUAGAAACCCAAACAUGGAUAAGGUUAGUCCUUACGAAUGAAAUAUCUAAAAAAAAAUUCUUUUAAUUGCAGGGAUUCAAUCUUUAAGAAUAACAAACAUCAGCUGCAUGGUAUUAAUACUAGGAAGUGGAGAGCAAUUUUUAUGGUGGUGUGUUUGUAGAUGUUGAUGGGGGAGGAACAAAACUAUUUUUGAGGAUGACUUUCAGCACGCAGUUGACCCAACUUUUACGAUUCUUAAGAUGGUUGAAGGCAUAGACAAAUACACCCAAUAUCCUUUCAAUAUUCACCAAUGUGACACUAUUUUCAUUGGAUGGAAAAGACUUCGAGAGGGGUGAAUCAAGAUUAAUUGUGAUGGAGCCUACAAAAAUCAUUUGGGUUUAGCUGGUUGUGGUGAACUCUUUCGCAACUUGGAUGUAUGAAAAUGUAGCGCUUGGAGCAUGUAUGGAGAUAUAUUGUUGUGGAUCUCCUAGUACGGUCAUACAAUUGUAUGAUAUCUUGGGGCCCUUGUCUACCAUUGCUUAAGGGCUAAGUUAUAUAAGUUGACACCAAUCAUUAUAUAUGAGGAAUAAAAGAAUAUGUUGAUUCCAAAAAGAUAAGACAAGGACACCUCAUACGAGAAAUUACCAAAGGGUAUCACUUGUAGUGGUUGGACUUGUAUUUUGAAGUACAACCACAUGUUAGUGUCAAAGGUUCAAAUUUUGCUAGAUAGAAUUGAGAGGCCAAUUUCCAGUUAGAAACUAAUAGAGUUCUCCCUCCAUCUCAUCUUCCUCAUAGAUGAGCAUGAGUGCUAGUUCUUAGUGAAUUAGAGUUAUAAUUACUUUGGUGAUGUUUAAGCUCACCUCUUUCAUUUGUGGAGUGUAAUCGGUUUCUAACUCUCUUUUUUUCCUAACUCUUAUUUAUCUAUUCAUUUAGCUUUUCAUGUCUUCAUUUAUUUCUUCUUUAUUUUAUGUUUUCAUGGGUAAGCUCAUCAUGAGCUAAAACCCUUUAGUGGUUUAGAAAUGAUGGGAUUAUGAUAUUAUUUGCAUUAGAUUCGAGAGCUACAACUUCACACUUCUUUUAAACAAACUAAUGUAACGCUAAUCUUUAAAAGCAAAACUUGAUCAUUUUUAUGUUUAUUGCCAAAUUCCCCAAGACUGAAAGGAGAUGGGAAUGAAACAUUUAGCAUGGAGAUGAGAACAAGAAAGACUGCUUGAAUUUAAACAAGAACUUUGAAAAACCUAGAGAUGCACAAAGAUCUUUCUAGAUUUCUUGUCAUAGGCCACAUCUGAGCCUCUUAUUUGAUUGAGAGGUACUGAUGACCUAACAUUAUAAUGUUUAAUAUUAAGUACUGUGAGUGUACCCCGAACGGUGUAUCGUCUCAUGCUUAACUUGAUGGUUGUGUUGAAAGACCCAUAAGGCCACUUGGUUGCCAGGAAGUUAUAUCAAGCUAUAUAUAUAUCGUAGCAAAGCUCUGUCAUAACAAAAUCAUUGUUUAAACCAUACUUUCAUCUUUGAGAAAUUCUAAGUGUUUUUACUUGCUUUCAUGUUAUUGUUUUUAAUAUUUAUUUGUAUUGUUGUGAAAUCAAAUGAUUUAUUUUAUUUUCUCACAAACAAGUUUAUCAUUGGAAAGUUAUAGGAAGCUAUAGCGCCCCAAUCCCUGUGGAUGUGGGUUCGAUCUUUUUAUACUGUUACUUAAGAAAGUGUAUGCUUGAAGUAGUAAGACUCUUGAAAAUACAUAGUGUAUUUAGAGAAACCAUUCAGUUCGGCUCGACUCGAUAAAAAUUAGAUCAAUUUGAAACUCAACUCGAGUUCAUCACAAACUUUAUUUUCAGCUCGAACUCGAUUCGAUUCAAGGUCGCAAAUAACUCAGUUCGACUCGAUAGGCUCAACUCGAUAGCUCAAAUCAGAUGAACCAAAAGACAAUUUUUGUUUGUUUGUAGAAAUAGCUCCAAAACCUCUAAUAAUUGGCCUCAAAAAUCAUAUAAGGGAAAAGCUUUUUGGUACGGAAAUUGCAGCAACGAAAAACAACAGACGUUAUAUAAGCCGUAGGAUAUAUUUUAGAUUGUAAAACAUUUCUAACUUUUAUUUGUUUUAAAAAUAUAACAACACCGUCCGCGUGCAUCGUGUCACUCCCGUAUUGUAGAUUUUCCGUACUAUAUAGCGUUCCUCAUCAGAUAAAUGGGUAAUAAAUCUAUUCCAAUUGUACAUGAUAUCAUAGUUCGUUGUACUGUUUUAAAUAGAUAUCUUGCCUCCUACGGACUCAUUUUAGAGAAAUGAUAUUUGUACAAUUAUUUUGUGAUAAUUUUUGGAUAUCUCUAUCUCUCAUACUCAUAUUAUGUGUUACUCUUUCUCUUUCUUUUUUUCUCUCUCUAUUAUUUGUGACCAAUAAAAAAUGAGAAAAAUAAAAUUGUCACAAAAGUUUUCACCAAAUAAUUGACAAACAUCAUUGCUCCGGGCCCUAAUUCUCCGUUUUUCCGCCCUUUUGGGUCUUUGUUUCCAUAUAAGAUGUCUUGGGACCUGUGAACAGAAUUUCUCCCUCUGUAAAUUCUUAUGAGACCUCUUGAAUCUUCAUUCUUGAUAUUCCCAAGGUCUUCACUAAUCUUCGGAUGUUCUUGCUUUGCCAAUUUGCAUGAUUUCUUCGUGAACUACAUCAAAAACACCCUAUAAUUGCUAUGUUUCGGGAAGAAUAGAAUUACAUAUUCCAAUAUAGAAAACAUUACAAAUAUCCCGAAAUCAUAGAUAAUUGUUCUAAAACUAACGUAAGAUGACAUGUCAUCAGACGCGCACACUGAAGAUAUGAAAAUAGAAGUUGUUGAAAAGGGGUAUCUAUUGCGUGCGUAUGUCCAUACACAUAGGGCAUGUGUGAUGAUGGAGCAUCAUAUGAUAUUUUAGGCGAUGUUUUUAGUUAUUUUCUUUGCAUUUGAACGCAAAUAAGAGGUCAUUUAGAGAAUUUAUCAAUGGUUUGAGGACCAUUUUGUAUUGUUUUCAUUCGAGUUGUUGUAAUUCACUUUUAUCCUAAAUCAUGCAACUCCAUGGGUGUUUUGAGUCUUUUUAGUGAGAUAUCGUGCAAAUCGACAAAACAAGACAUCACGUGAAUGAUCAAGGAUAUGAAGAAUGAAGAUCAAUGAUUUUUAGAAGGUUUUUGAAGACAAUACAAGUUGAGGAAAAUUCAUCUCAAGUUUCAAGGAAUUUCAAGACUGAAGAACGCUCAGAAAAGAACGAAAACUGCAAAAUUCACACUAGAGUUGUUGCCUCAUGCUCCCCUGCGCAUGAGUAAUGAUGCACAAUAAAUAGAGACCCUUGCUAAGAAAAUUCACACUAGAGUUGUUGCCUCAUGCUCCCCUAAUCGGAACUUCUACGGUACACCUCUAAAUUACGGUGUACCGAUAUUCUCAUUUACGAUUUUUAUAAAUUAACUAUAAUUUUUUAUGAAGAAAAUAGGUGUUUCUUGACAUAUAUAUUUUAGAAAAUAUCAUUUUAUAAGAAAAAACAUCAUUUCAUUUUUUAUAAAAAUCAUACUAAUUUUUUUUACAUUUAUUGUAAAAAAUAAUCAAAAUUCUCUAUAAUGAGUAAUAAAGAAUUUAGAAAAAUUAAAUUUUAUUGCGUUGACGAUUUUGAUGAAUAAGAUUUAGUUAUUAUAAUCAUAGUUGAUAGAAAAUAAUUUUUUCCUUCAAAAAAUAACUCAUUUAACUAUUAAUUUAAGGAUUUGGUGUAUCAAUACACUUAAAUUAUUGAGUGUACCAUAGAAUUUAUCAUAUUAUUAUUUGAUGACACGUUUGAUUUGCCAAAAGUUCAUCACCUAAGUUGAUAACAACAAAUAAGAGGAUAUUAGUAAAAAAGUGAAAUUAAUAUUUUAAAAUGACAAAUAAUACGAUACAAAUAAAUUUUUCCAAAUGCUACAUUUUUUUCUGUUACAUUGCUAAGAAAUGCAAACAAAACAAAAGAGAAAAAAGAAAGAGCUAAUAAAUUUUCCAAAUGCUACAUUUAAUAGUAUACUAUUUUUUUGGCUAGAGAAUAGUAUACUAUUUUAUUAUAUAUCAUAUGAGGAAUGAAGAUUUACAUAAAUUCAUUUUGGUAAAGACCAUAAAUUGAGUGAUUUGAUUAUCACGAAAAAAAAAAAAAAAAAAAACAAAGUGGUUGUCCAAAAUCCUAGAAAAGUGUCCUAGUAGAACAUCCUUAGAAUAGAGAACUCUCAGUUUUUCUGAUGCCUCAUUAUUUUUCCAGUUUAGAGGAGGAUACUAACAUCAGGUGCAAAAAAACCAGUACCUAGCAUCAUCAUAAAAUUUGUUAAAAACUACAUUUAAUUCAUGGUGUUUGAAUCCCCGGUCUCUAUUUGUGGUAGUUGUACAUUUCAAAUUUGCGACCAUUCAAUGGCUGAAGUGGCCUUGCGUUGUGCUGAAACUCCGGACCCAAUGGUGCCUUUAGAAGUUUUAGUUGUUCCUUUGAGAGUGUCCUCACCUGCAUGCUCAUUAAGUAAGAAAUUAAUUUUUCCAAAAGCAAAAAAUAAUACAAAUGAUUAGUCUGUUCAAACAUAAAUUACUUUACAUUUACUUCACUUUUAGUAAAAUCUAUAAAAUCAAUUCGGUCAUAAUCAAUUUAUAUCAUCGCAUAACCAAUUAAUUAAAACUUAAUACCUUGCCAAUGAUGUUCCAAAUGACACCUUCUUUGCAUGGAGGGGUAGUGAGAGAGCCAAUAUAUCUAUAAUAUCUAUGGAUCCUUUUAUUUAUUUCCUCUACAUCAAAGGUGCCAAGGGCAAUUUUGGCAUCUUUAUUUCCCACACGGUUCUCAUUGGCUAGCUCAUAGAACUUGUCUUCAAUCUGCAUUCAAGAACCAAAUGUUUGUACUAUUAAUAUUCCAAAUAAUAAAUUCUACUACUUUAGAGUCUUGAGUCAUGUAAUACUUGUUUGAAUUUGUGGUAAAUUUGACAGAAUCACGAUCAUGAUUUCGACAAAUCUACCGUGAUACCGAAUAUGAACAUAAUUGUGAAUGUGACUUAAAUAACUCUACCUUGGAGAUUAGAGGAUCAGGAUCACCCAAAUUGUAGAGGGCUGCAAUAACUGCUAUGUUAUUGUUAUCUUCUGUGAGGUGAACUAGGUGGAGCUCUGCCUCAUGUCUGUAUUUGGAAUAUUUUGUACAAAGAUUAGUAACUGACAUUGUAAUUUGUAAGGGUUAAAUAGAUUUUUAUUAGAGGUGUAGGCCAGGAUAAAUCAGAAUGCAUGGAAUCCUAUUUCUUGUACUAAUAUAUUAAAUUAAAUAUAGAAUGUACGAUAUGGUAAUAAAAGAUAAAAAAAGAAUUUAUUCCUUUACAAAAAUCUGGAACUAAAGAAAAAUAGUGUUUCUUUAUGUUCUACAUGUGUCACAUUAUCUACCUCAAGUUGUCAUUAUCAAGCUUAAUGACUUAAAAAUGGUUUGAAAGGAUCUAUUAAGUUAUAUUGAAAAUAAUUACCUCCUAUCCUUUAAAUAUUCUGUUGAAUUACCUAGUAAUUUUUUUAAAAAUUCAAUAUCCCUAGAUUUCUAAUAUAAAUAUAAAACAAUUUCUUGACCUUUUUUAAUAGUAAAGUAAUAAAAAAUUAUAAGUAUCAUUUUGCUUCUUCAAAAAAGAAUUAAGCAUGAUUAUGUAUGCAACUAUAGAAUCUGACAUUUUUUAAAUAAAAAUACUGCAGAAUUAAAUAUAAAAAUGAUUGCCCCUUCUUUCUGAUAUGCCACGGGCCAAACGUUCUAUUCCAUAAUAAGCAAAUUUUUAACCAAACCGAAGUAAUCAGGGGGUUUGGAUAGAUCAAUUAAUUUGAGUUAAAGAUUAAAGGAAUUAGAGGUCUCGAGUUCAAACGUGGAUAACGGAGAAAGAAUGUAUUGGGAGAGAAGAAGAGAGAGGGAACAAAUAUAGAAGAAAGGGGACUUACAAACGACCAUGAGCCCUGUGCUCUGCAGGUGCAUGCCAGUGAAGUUGUCUCAAUGAAUAAUUCAUUCCAUUUAUGUUAAUAUCUCCCACUUUACCUUCAAAAUGUACCUAUAUUUUAACAAACUCAACCAUAUCAGUUGAUAUCACAAUUUUCCUUAACAACCUUACCUUAUAAUUGUGUAAUUUGUUUGUAACAGACGUUGGACCCAACACUGAUACCUAGACACCGACUAAUAAUAAUAAUUUGAAAAGUAGAAAUGAUUGGCAUCGACUCGUGUCUAACAUCAAACACAUAUUCGAUUUGAAGUGUCAGUAGUAUAUAGUUAUGAUGGGGUAACCACAAUUUUUCCACUUUUUAAGAGAUUUGUAUAGUUGAUGAAC